CAUCACUUCCACCCUUGCUGUAGAUUGUGUUGCGGCAUCUCAUCAACGAACAUGAAGCUGUUUCUCCUGAUGGUUCUUGCCACUCUGUUGACUGCAGAAUGUGUUGUUGCAGAACGACAACAAAUCAAGCUGGCCCCAACCAUGUAUGCGAGAGCACGGUUCACAAGAUCAAUAUCAGAAUAUCGUCUUCGGUCUGGUGCCUCAAAACGUCUGAGAAUGCGAAGUCUAUCAAGUUCUGGCACUGAAUGAUGAGGUGGAGAGGAUUCUAAUGUGCAUCAAAACAAAAUGAGCAAUAAAUCAGUUUUGUUCUGCAA